rnacentral:rRNA from 1 species
GACGAACGCUGGCGGCGUGCUUAACACAUGCAAGUCGAACGAAGUGGCGAACGGGUGAGUAACGCGUAAUCAACCUGCCCUUCAGCGGGGGAUAACAGUUGGCAACGACUGCUAAUACCUCAUACUGAAGGAGUGGAUUGCGUCUGAUUAGCUAGUUGGAGGGGUAACGGCCCACAAAGGCGAUGAUAAGUAGGCGGUCUGACGCGAUGAACGGCCAAAUUGGGAGUGAGACACGGCCCAGACUCCUACGGGAGGCAGCAGUUGGGAAUCUUACGCAAUGGACGAAAGUCUGACGGAGCAACGCCGCGUGAGUGAUGACGGCCUUCGGGUUGUAAAGCUCUGUUAAUCGGGACGCGGUACCGGAAUAGAAAGCCAUGGCUAACUACGUGCCAGCAGCCGCGGUAAUUC